rnacentral:rRNA from 1 species
UACGUAGGGUGCAAGCGUUGUCCGGAAUUAUUGGGCGUAAAGAGCUCGUAGGCGGCUUGUCACGUCGGGUGUGAAAGCCCGGGGCUUAACCCCGGGUCUGCAUUCGAUACGGGCUAGCUAGAGUGUGGUAGGGGAGAUCGGAAUUCCUGGUGUAGCGGUGAAAUGCGCAGAUAUCAGGAGGAACACCGAUGGCGAAGGCAGGUCUCUGGGCAUUAACUGACGCUGAGGAGCGAAAGCAUGGGGAGCGAACAGG